UAAGAAUAUGUGAAAAAUGAGUAAAUAAAAAACAUGAUGAAAUGAAGAGAGGAGUCACCCAGUGUUAACACUACCCUAACUUGAUGGUUUUUUUUUCCUUAUUUAUAUUGCUUAUUUUUAUCAAAUAGUGAGGAGGUCUCGACACCAUUUCCUUUUGAGCCUUCUGGGAGGAUUCCCAGGAAUAGUGAGAGUGGCAAGGUUCGAAAUGAGAGGGUUGGAAUGAGAAGGGAGUUUAGAGUGGAAUCGUUUGUAAAAGGCUACUGCUUCUU